rnacentral:rRNA from 1 species
GUGUCAGCCGCCGCGGUAAGACAGAGGUGGCAAGCGUUGUUCGGAUUCAUUGGGUGUAAAGGGUGCGUAGGCGGUUUAGAUAGUCGGACGUGAAAGCCCACAGCUUAACUGUGGAAAUGCGUCCGAAACUCCUAGACUAGAGUGUGAGAGAGGUGAAGGGAAUUCCCGGUGUAAGGGUGAAAUCUGCAGAGAUCGGGAGGAACACCAGUAGCGAAGGCGCUUCACUGGCUCACAACUGACGCUGAGUGCACGAAGGUAUGGGGAGCAAACGGGAUUAGAAACCCUUGUAGUCC